rnacentral:rRNA from 1 species
AUACGUAGGUGGCAAGCGUUAUCCGGAAUUAUUGGGCGUAAAGAGUGAGCAGGCGGUUAAUUAAGGCUGAGGUUAAAGCGUGGGGCUCAACCCCAUAAAGCCUUGGAAACUGAUUGACUAGAGUACGGGAGAAGUGAAGGGAACUCCAUGUGUAGCGGUGAAAUGCGUAGAUAUAUGGAAGAACACCAGUGGCGAAGGCGCUUCACUAGCCCGAAACUGACGCUCAGUCACGAAAGCGUGGGUAGCAAAUAGGAUUAGAUACCCUAGUAGUCCACGCUGUAAACGAUGACAACUAAAUAUUGCCGCGAGGCAGUGUUGAAGCUAACGCAUUAAGUUGUCCGCCUGGGGAGUACGGUCGCAAGACUGAAACUUAAAUGAAUUGACGGGG